AACGAACGCUGGCGGCAUGCCUAACACAUGCAAGUCGAACGAGACCUUCGGGUCUAGUGGCGCACGGGUGCGUAACGCGUGGGAACCUGCCCUUAGGUUCGGAAUAACUCCCCGAAAGGGGUGCUAAUACCGGAUAAUGUCUUCGGACCAAAGAUUUAUCGCCUUUGGAUGGGCCCGCGUUGGAUUAGCUAGUUGUUAGGGUAAAAGCAUACCAAGGCGACGAUUCAUAGCUGGUUUGAGAGGAUGAUUAGCCACACUGGGACUGAGACACGGCCCAGACUCCUACGGGAUGCAGCAGUGGGGAAUAUUGGACAAUGGGCGAAAUCCUGAUCCAGCAAUGCCGCUUGAGUGAUGAAGGCCUUAGAGUUGUAAAGCUCUUUUACCCGUGAUGAUAAUGACAGUACCGAGAGAAUAAGCUCCGGCUAACUCCGUG
rnacentral:rRNA from 1 species